ACUGGAGGACUGAGAGGGCUGAGUCUGAUGAAGCAAGACUGCUGAUACAAAUCUUCUUAGAAAAAAGGGUUAAAGAGAACUGGAGAGAACAGCCCUUACUGGAGAAUAUCACAGGACUGACUGUAUUACCCAAUAUUC